GGAUGCCUUGGUAUUAGGAGGCGAUGAAGGACGUAGCACGUUGCGAUAAGUCCCGGGGAGUUGCGAGCAGGCAUUGAUCCGGGAAUUUCCGAAUGGGGAAACCCACCCUUUUAGGGUAUCAUGAUCUGAAUACAUAGGGUCAUGAGGCAAACCUGGAGAACUGAAACAUCUAAGUAUCCAGAGGAAAAGACAUCAACCGAGAUUCCGCUAGUAGUGGCGAGCGAACGCGGAGCAGGCCAGUUGCAUUCAUUAUCUAAUUAGAAUAUUCUGGAAAGGAUAGCCAUAGUAGGUGAUAGCCCCGUAUAAGUAUGGGUAAUGAGUGUACAUGAGUAGGGCGGGACACGUGAAAUCCUGUUUGAAGAUGGGGGGACCACCCUCCAAGCCUAAAUACUCCCUAAUGACCGAUAGUGAACAAGUACCGUGAGGGAAAGGUGAAAAGAACCCCAAUGAGGGGAGUGAAAUAGACCUGAAACCAAAU
rnacentral:rRNA from 1 species